rnacentral:misc_RNA from 1 species
AAGUCGUAACAAGGUUUCCGUAGGUGAACCUGCGGAAGGAUCAUUAACACGUAUCCAACGUUAAACCCUGAUCUUGAUGCACCCGUUUUCUUAUAACCACCGCUGGAAAACUAUGUCUUCCCGCAAAAGUACCCGCUCGGGGGGCCUGAGAACCUUCCAGAGCUGGAAUAUCCGAACAACUGUUAACAAUGGAUAUCUUGGCUCUC